GGUGCGCUGCGCUCCGCGGCGCCGUGCGCAGGGCGCGCGCUGCGCUCCCGCGCUGGCCGCGCGGCGGUGGCGGCUCGCGCCCCCGCGCCCCUCCCAGCUCGCCUCUGCGGCGCGGAGAGAGCGGCAGGACCUCCUUCCCUGGGAAGGCGGCUGCAGGGCGCGGGCGGCACUCGCGGGAGUAGUUUGGGGAAGAGGUGGAGAAGGUGCUGGAACUGCGCUGUGCCUCUGCCCCGCUGGAGGGGCGGGGAGGAGCCAGCCUGACGGGCCUGGGAUCAGCUGUGUGUCUGGCUGUUGGGAGUGAGCGUGUGUGUGUGUGUGUCUGUGUUUGUGUGUGCCCAGGGCGGCUGCCUCCCUCCCCUUAAAAAAAAAACACGUGGUGGGGAAAACUUAGAGCCCGUCCCCUCUCUGCGGCAGCAGCGGGCGCUGUCGUGGGUGGCAGCGGGCCGCUGAGAGCAUUCCAGCGGAGCCGGCCUGUGGGGCAGGCUGCGGCUCCGCAGCGGCGCCGAGGCUGCCCGCAGCCCCUCGCGGUGCAGGGCUGCUCGGCAGCGGCGGGUGGAACGGGCCGGGGGAGGAACCGCGGUUGAUUUCUUUUGUUGUGUAUUACCCCAGCCAUGACAAUUUGCAAGUGGAAGCAGUCUUACAGCCUCAGACAAGCCUCUGUGGAACAGCUGCUCACGCAGGAUUGUCCUUGUACUUCAGCAGCAUUGCCUGCAGAAUUUAACACUUGUCAUGUUUACAGAUCUCCAGCUUGAAACCUAAACAGAGCAGGGGGAAUGACUUUGAUUCUUCAACACCCACAGAUUGGACAAAGGGACUUGAGAGAAAUGGGAAGCUUUACUGCCAGUGAAGACUGAGGCAAAGCACUUGCUUGAAUUCCACUCUUGCAAAGUUCGGGGUCUUCAUUUUGCUCCUUGCCAGGCCCAAACUCCUUGAGAUCAUGAACUCAGCCAGGGUGGUUGUUACAGCCAAGGCUGCUUUUGAUCUUAACUCCUUUGAUGUGCUCAUCCACCGCAUUGCACAUCUGCCCAGCUGUGCUCUGCUUUGCUGCUGCUGCUCCUCCUCCUCCUGCUUGCAAGCACACGUGAGCCUGGAUGUCUCUUUGGAAGAUGCAGCUGAAAAUUGUUGGCUGUCCUAAUUGAUGGGGUCUCCUCCAGCACUCAGCUCAGAAACCCAAUCAGUAUUCAGACAGCAGAAGCAAAAAAACAAGGUGUAACUUUCCACUGACUUCAAUGGACCCUGCUUGCAGACCAUUGUAAAAUGAGCACCUCUUACCUCCUCACAGGUGGCAUGAAGAAAGUGCUGAAGAUGUCAGAGAGGCUCUUUGGUGUGAAUGCAAUUGUUGCAUGUCUGUCAGGCUGCAUCAGUGCUGUGGGUGGUAGGGAGCACAGGCUGGGGCUGCAUGCUGAGAAAGGAGCCCUUGCUCUGGCUGCUGUGUCCCUUGACCUGUUACACCAUGGGCGAGGUACAGCCCUUGCUUUAGCAGCACUCUCUGGCAGUAACAUCUACAUACAUACACACGCCACUUUAUGGGAGAUACUAAUGUGUGAGGCACUUCCCUUGAUUCAGUUCUCAGAUUAUAAUAUAUGUGUAGGGCCACAGUUUAUCUUCUCCAGAUCUAAUUAUUGAAAUUCAAGAACCCCAUUUAUUUCAAGUAAUGAAAUAGGAAAAUUCUACUGGCAUUAUGGUUCUUGGCUGAAGACCUCUAACAAAUGUGAUGCUUCUCCUUUCCCUUCCAAGUAGGGUGGUGGGUCAUUCAGUUUGCAGGAGAAAAAAGACCAGAUGGUGGUAAAUGUCUUUACUAUAUGAUGUCUGUUUGUAUGAAAGGUUUUUAUUUUUUUUAUUCUUUAAUUUCUGUGAAUUCCAUUUUAUUCCCCUCUGUUUUAAAUAAAUUGAAUAGCAAGAUUUGUAUAUACAUUUAACCACUAUUUAAUGAAAAGCCUGCAGUUCAUACCUGUGAUCCAUGACGUAUGGUGCUGCCACAGGAAAAGUAGCUAGCGUUGUUACAGACCUUCAUCUUAAUUAUGAAAAUUUUUUAUUUAAAUAUAGAGCUGAGCAUACAAAAUACAGCACUAGGCCAUCUGUUAGUUUUCCAUCUGGACUCAUUUGCAAAAUACUCUCUGUUUCCCUCCUAAACACUAUUUAUAAUCUUCCUUGAAAAAAAGUAUGACUAAUCUAUGGCACACCAGAGAUAGCUAUUUGAAUGCCACUUUUAAUAGAAGUGGCUAUGUAGUUCAAAGUAGUAGCAAAAUAUAUUUAUUUUGUUUUGCAUGCAGGUGUAAAAGCUCACAUGACUUCUAGACACACAAAAAUUUUUUUUCCUAUCAUACUGUUUUUAACUAGCAAAAAGUAAAAUCUUCAAGAUUUCUGAUUCAAUGGAAAAGUUACAAAUGAGAAUGAACAGUUAGCAUUUUGAAGUGCCUGACCAGGACUUUUGCAGUGAUUCUGAAGUGGCUUGCUGAGUCUGAAACAUCCCCAGAGGCCUGAUUUCUGAAGAUGAGCACUCAGAUUAUACUUAGCAUAAAGCAUCAUCUGAGCAGAAUAUUGCAUUACUGUAAUUGCUAGUUGUUUGGUCCAAACCCACGUCUCCUAGACCAGUAAAAGGGUGGGCAAUGGGUCUGGCAAAGCAGCAGUUGCAGGGAGCUCACUGGAAGCCCCCUGGAAGGCACAUGCAUGGUGGCGCUGAUUUCAUGGUGCCUUCUAAAGCCGUCUGUGGGCCACCAGAGCCACCAACAAUCACCUGCUAGGAGUUAUCUCCUAUUUUCUCUCUCCACUCAGCAUCAUAGAGCAGUGAAAACCUCAUUCCCUGGAGGCUAUUCCCUAGUCAUUCUUUUACACCUCUGAGUCAGGCAUCCUGAAGUACCUUCUCAGGUCCUCCUCCAUCGCCUAACAUGUCAUCUUUGGCCAAACUCUACUUCACAGUUGCCAGAGUGGAAAGCAAAAAGGGGCUUAUUUCAAGGGUUUUGAAGAGCAAUUAUUCAGUAAUAUCUUACUCUCCUCUUCCCCUUCUCUUUAUUUUUCAGAGAACAGAAAUAUGUUUUUAGACACCCCUGCUUGUUUUAAUUUUCCAUAAAAAGGCAAAGGCUGAUUUCUCCUGACUAACUUGCAUGCAAAGUUCUGAAGAAGUUCUUUGCAGGGUAAUGUUAAGUCAUCUUUGGGAUUUUGGGUUGGUUUGUUUCUUUGUUUUUGUUUUUGUUUUGUUUUUUUGUUUUGUUUUUGUUUUUGUUUUUGUUUU